rnacentral:rRNA from 1 species
AGAGUUUGAUCCUGGCUCAGAUUGAACGCUGGCGGCAGGCCUAACACAUGCAAGUCGAGCGGAUGAAGAGAGCUUGCUCUCUGAUUCAGCGGCGGACGGGUGAGUAAUGCCUAGGAAUCUGCCUGGUAGUGGGGGACAACGUUUCGAAAGGAACGCUAAUACCGCAUACGUCCUACGGGAGAAAGCAGGGGACCUUCGGGCCUUGCGCUAUCAGAUGAGCCUAGGUCGGAUUAGCUAGUUGGUGAGGUAAUGGCUCACCAAGGCGACGAUCCGUAACUGGUCUGAGAGGAUGAUCAGUCACACUGGAACUGAGACACGGUCCAGACUCCUACGGGAGGCAGCAGUGGGGAAUUUUGGACAAUGGACGCAAGUCUGAUCCAGCCAUGCCGCGUGCGGGAAGAAGGCCUUCGGGUUGUAAACCGCUUUUGUCAGGGAAGAAACGCUCUGGGCUAAUACCCUGGGGUAAUGACGGUACCUGAAGAAUAAGCACCGGCUAACUACGUGCCAGCAGCCGCGGUAAUACGUAGGGUGCAAGCGUUAAUCGGAAUUACUGGGCGUAAAGCGUGCGCAGGCGGUUACGCAAGACAGAUGUGAAAUCCCCGGGCUCAACCUGGGAACUGCAUUUGUGACUGCAUGGCUAGAGUACGGUAGAGGGGGAUGGAAUUCCGCGUGUAGCAGUGAAAUGCGUAGAUAUGCGGAGGAACACCGAUGGCGAAGGCAAUCCCCUGGACCUGUACUGACGCUCAUGCACGAAAGCGUGGGGAGCAAACAGGAUUAGAUACCCUGGUAGUCC